rnacentral:rRNA from 1 species
CAAGUCGAGGGGCAGCAUGACCGUAGCAAUACGGCUGAUGGCGACCGGCAAACGGGUGCGGAACACGUACAGAACCUUCCUUCGAGCGGGGAAUAGCCCGGAGAAAUCCGGAUUAAUACCCCAUAGAAAAUUGAAAAGGCAUCUUUUUAAUUUUAAAGAUUUAUCACUUGAAGAUGGCUGUGCGUCUGAUUAGGUAGUUGGCGGGGUAACGGCCCACCAAGCCUGCGAUCAGUAACUGGUGUGAGAGCACGACCAGUCACACGGGCACUGAGACACGGGCCCGACUCCUACGGGAGGCAGCAGUAAGGAAUAUUGGUCAAUGGACGAAAGUCUGAACCAGCCAUGCCGCGUGGAGGAUGAAGGUCCUCUGGAUUGUAAACUUCUUUUAUUUGGGACGAAAAAGGAUCUUUCCAGAUCAACUGACGGUACCAGAUGAAUAAGCACCGGCUAACUCCGUGCCAGCAGCCGCGGUAAUACGGAGGGUGCAAGCGUUAUCCGGAUUCACUGGGUUUAAAGGGUGCGUAGGUGGGCAGGUAAGUCAGUGGUGAAAUCCCCGAGCUUAACUUGGGAACUGCCAUUGAUACUAUUUGUCUUGAAUACUGUGGAGGUUAGCGGAAUAUGUCAUGUAGCGGUGAAAUGCUUAGAUAUGACAUAGAACACCAAUUGCGAAGGCAGCUGGCUACACAAAUAUUGACACUGAUGCACGAAAGCGUGGGGAUCAAACAGGAUUAGAUACCCUGGUAGUCCACGCCCUAAACUAUGGAUACUCGACAUACGCGAUACACUGUGUGUGUCUGAGCGAAAGCAUUAAGUAUCCCACCUGGGAAGUACGAUCGCAAGAUUGAAACUCAAAGGAAUUGGCGGGGGUCCGCACAAGCGGUGGA